rnacentral:rRNA from 2 species
AUUGAAGAGUUUGAUCAUGGCUCAGAUUGAACGCUGGCGGCAGGCCUAACACAUGCAAGUCGAACGGUAACAGGAAGCAGCUUGCUGCUUUGCUGACGAGUGGCGGACGGGUGAGUAAUGUCUGGGAAACUGCCUGAUGGAGGGGGAUAACUACUGGAAACGGUAGCUAAUACCGCAUAACGUCGCAAGACCAAAGAGGGGGACCUUCGGGCCUCUUGCCAUCGGAUGUGCCCAGAUGGGAUUAGCUAGUAGGUGGGGUAACGGCUCACCUAGGCGACGAUCCCUAGCUGGUCUGAGAGGAUGACCAGCCACACUGGAACUGAGACACGGUCCAGACUCCUACGGGAGGCAGCAGUGGGGAAUAUUGCACAAUGGGCGCAAGCCUGAUGCAGCCAUGCCGCGUGUAUGAAGAAGGCCUUCGGGUUGUAAAGUACUUUCAGCGGGGAGGAAGGCGAUAAGGUUAAUAACCUUGUCGAUUGACGUUACCCGCAGAAGAAGCACCGGCUAACUCCGUGCCAGCAGCCGCGGUAAUACGGAGGGUGCAAGCGUUAAUCGGAAUUACUGGGCGUAAAGCGCACGCAGGCGGUCUGUCAAGUCGGAUGUGAAAUCCCCGGGCUCAACCUGGGAACUGCAUUCGAAACUGGCAGGCUAGAGUCUUGUAGAGGGGGGUAGAAUUCCAGGUGUAGCGGUGAAAUGCGUAGAGAUCUGGAGGAAUACCGGUGGCGAAGGCGGCCCCCUGGACAAAGACUGACGCUCAGGUGCGAAAGCGUGGGGAGCAAACAGGAUUAGAUACCCUGGUAGUCCACGCCGUAAACGAUGUCGACUUGGAGGUUGUGCCCUUGAGGCGUGGCUUCCGGAGCUAACGCGUUAAGUCGACCGCCUGGGGAGUACGGCCGCAAGGUUAAAACUCAAAUGAAUUGACGGGGGCCCGCACAAGCGGUGGAGCAUGUGGUUUAAUUCGAUGCAACGCGAAGAACCUUACCUACUCUUGACAUCCAGAGAACUUUCCAGAGAUGGAUUGGUGCCUUCGGGAACUCUGAGACAGGUGCUGCAUGGCUGUCGUCAGCUCGUGUUGUGAAAUGUUGGGUUAAGUCCCGCAACGAGCGCAACCCUUAUCCUUUGUUGCCAGCGGUCCGGCCGGGAACUCAAAGGAGACUGCCAGUGAUAAACUGGAGGAAGGUGGGGAUGACGUCAAGUCAUCAUGGCCCUUACGAGUAGGGCUACACACGUGCUACAAUGGCGCAUACAAAGAGAAGCGACCUCGCGAGAGCAAGCGGACCUCAUAAAGUGCGUCGUAGUCCGGAUUGGAGUCUGCAACUCGACUCCAUGAAGUCGGAAUCGCUAGUAAUCGUGGAUCAGAAUGCCACGGUGAAUACGUUCCCGGGCCUUGUACACACCGCCCGUCACACCAUGGGAGUGGGUUGCAAAAGAAGUAGGUAGCUUAACCUUCGGGAGGGCGCUUACCACUUUGUGAUUCAUGACUGGGGUGAAGUCGUAACAAGGUAACCGUAGGGGAACCUGCGGUUGGAUCACCUCCUU